UGGAAUUUUGUAAUAUUAAUGUAUAAUUGAGUUUAAUGGACCGAUAUACAGACCAGUCGAUACUACAUUAAAAUGUAAAGACUUUUCAAAGUCUAGACAGAUCGAGGCAGGUUUAGACUGGUCACGAAAGGUCAAGCCUUGUCAAGACUGAGUCAAGACUGGUCGAGACAGGUCGAUUCUGAAUCGUGACUUUUCAAGCAUUUGUCGAGAAUAUUUC
rnacentral:lncRNA from 1 species